AUUGAACGCUGGCGGCAGGCCUAACACAUGCAAGUCGAGCGGAUGAAGGGAGCUUGCUCCUGGAUUCAGCGGCGGACGGGGGAGUAAUGCCUAGGAAUCUGCCUGGUAGUGGGGGAUAACGUCCUGAAACGGGCGCUAAUACCGCAUACGUCCUGAUGGAGAAAGUGGGGGAGCUUCGGACCUCACGCUAUCAGAGGAGCCUAGGUCGGAUUGGCUAGUUGGUGGGGUAAAGGCCUACCAAGCGGACGAUCCGUAACUGGUCGGAGAGGAUGAUCGGUCACACUGGAGCUGAGACACGGUCCAGACUCCUACGGGAGGCAGCAGUGGGGAAUAUUGGGCAAUGGGCGGAAGCCUGAUCCAGCCAUGCCGCGUGUGUGAAGAAGGUCUUCGGAUUGUAAAGCACUUUAAGUUGGGAGGAAGGGCAGUAAGUUAAUACCUUGCUGUUUUGACGUUACCAACAGAAUAAGCACCGGCUAACUUCGUG
rnacentral:rRNA from 1 species